CCUGGAGGAUUUCGCUUUCGCUUUCCUGCUGCUGUCGUUGAGGAAAAUAAAACGGCCGUGGCCAGGGCAGACGCAGCUGCUGUUCCGGGCGAGGGGCGCAGAAGGGACCCCGAGCCUUGCGCCGCGGCGCGCGCCGGGCGAGAAGUUUGAAAGACGGGGGUUGCCUAGUCCUUGCGCUUGGCUGUGGAUAAACACUCACAUCUCACUUGUAAGAACUGGGCUCCAUCCCAGUCUGUGGACACGGCCCUGCCCUUUGGAUGACCCCCAUCCCUGGCAAGAGAAGAUACAUAUGAUGGCAGCACGCCCUGGGCCUCUCUGCACUGUCCUGAAGGUGGACAGUAGAGAAACAAGAAAAUGGACUCCCUUUUCCUGGAGACCUGACUGAAUGCCAGCCACCGGUGCUAUAAUGAAGAAGACACCGCCAUUGGAGUAAAAGCACUGAGCUUGGAGAGAAUUGAUCACCUUCCAGCUCUGCCACAAAUCCCCUGUGACCAUGGGUGAGUUACUUGACCUCUCCAAGCCUCAGCUACCUUAUCAGUGAAAUGGGGUUAACAGUUUAUCCCUCAGAGGCAUGACAGACUCAAAUAGGGUCACCACACUGUGCAACUCCAGGGGGUGUUGUCCCUAUUUUAGUCUAAGCAGCCUCUAGUGGCCUGAGAUUAAAUGAGAGCAUUUUUGUGAUGUGACCUGAAGUUAAUGGUCAAUGAGCAGUAGCUAUUGUUAUGUACAAGUUAGGGGGAAACAGAGGUCAUUAGAGGCUAGCAGACUGGGCACACUUGGGCAGGCUUUGUUCUUCAAGGAAGGGCAGGGCUCUAAAAAGUACAAACUGCCAUGCAGGCAAAGGCCAGGAGGCAGGGGCUUUCAGGGCAUGUCUGGGUAAAGCAGGUUGGUAAGGGCAGUGGUCAGUAAAUUCAAGACCUGAGAGAAGAACUUAGCCUUCUCUCUAGGCAUACACAAGCCACUGGGAGCUGGGUGUGGAGCAGCAUGGUUGAGACUACUGCAAGUGUUUUAAUUACUGAGCUGCAAAGGAUCCAGAGAGCAUCUUGUCCAACAUCUUAUCUCUCCAGGCAGACAGAGGCCAGGAAGUCGUCUCCAAGGUCACAUAGCAAGGACAAGGGCCAGGGCUGGGAUGCCUGCCUGUGCUGAACCCUGUUCAAAUGAUUUCUCAAGCCCAGUUUGUGGCCCCACAGAAAGAAGUUCCUGAUACUUUCCAUAUAUAUGUGAAUAUGUGUACAUGUAUGAAAAAUGUUAUAUGGUAUAGUCUGAUUAUAAAAGCAGUUAGGUCAUUGUAGAGGGCUUUUAAACUAUAGUAAUAUAAAGAAGAAGAUCUAAUCACCUAUAAUCUACCAUCCAGAGGUAACUACUAUUAGUAUCAUUAUAUAUUUCCUCCAUAUAUAC
rnacentral:lncRNA from 1 species